ACCCAUCACCGUCUGCUGGUGAGCUGGAUCAGACGGCAGGGAAAACUGACAGACAGAUCCGGUAGGCCCAAGCGCAUAGUGAGGGCGUGCUGGGAACAAGCGUCAGAGGACCCUGUCCGGAAUGAUUUUAACUCCCACCUUCGUGAGAACUCCUCCCAUGUCCCGGAGGAGGUAGGAGACAUGGAGUCUGAAUGAAAAUUUGAUUUUAAAAGCUUUGCUAUGCCUACAUGCUUCUGUAAUAGAACGUUUAAGAAUAAUGUUUAACUGCUGAAUAGCCUAUGCAAGAAAGCGGCACAUUCCAGGCUAUAGUUUGCUCUCUGUAUGUCCCCUUUUGUGCCAGCCUGUUCCCAUGAGAUAUCAGAGAAAUGUGGCUUACGCAGACUCACGUAAAGCCCAGAGGAUGUGUGCAACUGUUUCACAUAAGAAAGGAGAUAAACUGGUGACAGUGGACGUGUGUGAUGAGAGAUUGAGGGGCACAGUGACACACCUGGAAUGUUCAAAAAAUAACAUGUAUUCUGCCUAUGCUUACAAAAAUCUGCCCUAGAAUGUGUAUAAAUAUCUGCUUGCCUGGCUGCUCUGGUGUGACUCUGCGCAUACGAAUAAAUAAGGUUUUCUGCAACUCAAGUGACCGAGUGAUCUAUUUGUAUGACAAUUCUCAUUUUUCCCACCACAGUUUUGGGGGCUCGUCCGGGAUCACGACCUUCUGCCGGGACCGACCCGUGUGCCGCGAGGAACCCGACUAAGGGGGCAACCCUCCUAGGUCUAGGGGACCUGCUGGUGACCCAGCCCGAGCAAAAGUUAGGGCUGGCCCGUCCUGCGGUGCACCGAUCGACUCGGACAGAAUACGUGACACAGCUGCAGGCGCUGUGACUGAAUGUCGUCACCACCGACACCGUGGUCAAAACAGCACGGAAGCGCCUGUCCUCUCUCCGUAGGCUGAACAAGUUUGGCAUGCCAUCCCGGAUCCGGGGCUAAUUUCUACAGGCG
rnacentral:lncRNA from 1 species